rnacentral:misc_RNA from 1 species
AAAAUGCGAUAAGUAAUGUGAAUUGCAGAAUUCAGUGAAUCAUCGAAUCUUUGAACGCACAUUGCGCCCGCCAGUAUUCUGGCGGGCAUGCCUGUUCGAGCGUCAUUUCAACCCUCAAGCCCCCGGGUUUGGUGUUGGGGAUCGGGCUGCGGUUCUACCGCGUCCCGGCCCCGAAAUCUAGUGGCGGUCUCGCUGCAGCCUCCAUUGCGUAGUAGCUAACACCUCGCAACUGGAACGCGGCGCGGCCAAGCCGUUAAACCCCCAACUUCUGAAUGCUGACCUCGGAUCAGGUAGGAAUACCCGCUGAACUUAAGC